rnacentral:rRNA from 4 species
AGUGGCAGACGGGUGAGUAACGCGUGGGAAUCUACCGUGCCCUACGGAAUAGCUCCGGGAAACUGGAAUUAAUACCGUAUACGCCCUACGGGGGAAAGAUUUAUCGGGGUAUGAUGAGCCCGCGUUGGAUUAGCUAGUUGGUGGGGUAAAGGCCUACCAAGGCGACGAUCCAUAGCUGGUCUGAGAGGAUGAUCAGCCACAUUGGGACUGAGACACGGCCCAAACUCCUACGGGAGGCAGCAGUGGGGAAUAUUGGACAAUGGGCGCAAGCCUGAUCCAGCCAUGCCGCGUGAGUGAUGAAGGUCUUAGGAUUGUAAAGCUCUUUCACCGAUGAAGAUAAUGACGGUAGUCGGAGAAGAAGCCCCGGCUAACUUCGUGCCAGCAGCCGCGGUAAUACGAAGGGGGCUAGCGUUGUUCGGAAUUACUGGGCGUAAAGCGCACGUAGGCGGAUAUUUAAGUCAGGGGUGAAAUCCCGCAGCUCAACUGCGGAACUGCCUU